UACGGGGGGAGCAAGCGUUGUUCGGAAUUACUGGGCGUAAAGCGCACGUAGGCGGAUCGAUCAGUCAGGGGUGAAAUCCCAGGGCUCAACCCUGGAACUGCCUUUGAUACUGUCGAUCUGGAGUAUGGAAGAGGUGAGUGGAAUUCCGAGUGUAGAGGUGAAAUUCGUAGAUAUUCGGAGGAACACCAGUGGCGAAGGCGGCUCACUGGUCCAUUACUGACGCUGAGGUGCGAAAGCGUGGGGAGCAAACAGG
rnacentral:rRNA from 1 species